CAACUUCCCAAACCCAAUGUGAACGUUACCAAACUGUUGCCUCGGCGGGAUCUCUGCCCCGGGUGCGUCGCAGCCCCGGACCAAGGCGCCCGCCGGAGGACCAACCAAAACUCUUAUUGUAUAACCCCCUCGCGGGUUUUUUACUAUCAUGAGCCAUCUCGGCGCCCCUCGUGGGCGUUUCGAAAAUGAAUCAAAACUUUCAACAACGGAUCUCUUGGUUCUGGCAUCGAUGAAGAACGCAGCGAAAUGCGAUAAGUAAUGUGAAUUGCAGAAUUCAGUGAAUCAUCGAAUCUUUGAACGCACAUUGCGCCCGCCAGUAUUCUGGCGGGCAUGCCUGUCCGAGCGUCAUUUCAACAGCCUCGAACCCCUCCGGGGGGUCGGCGUUGGGGAUCGGCCCUUUACGGGGCCGGCCCCGAAAUACAGUGGCGGUCUCGCCGCAGCCUCUCCUGCGCAGUAGUUUGCACACUCGCAUCGGGAGCGCGGCGCGUCCACAGCCGUUAAACACCCCAAACUUCUGAAAUGUUGACCUCGGAUCAGGUAGGAAUACCCGCUGAACUUAAGCAUAUCAA
rnacentral:rRNA from 1 species